AGUGAACGCUGGCGGUAGGCCUAACACAUGCAAGUCGAACGGCAGCACAGUAAGAGCUUGCUCUUACGGGUGGCGAGUGGCGGACGGGUGAGGAAUACAUCGGAAUCUACUUUUUCGUGGGGGAUAACGUAGGGAAACUUACGCUAAUACCGCAUACGACCUACGGGUGAAAGCAGGGGAUCUUCGGACCUUGCGCGAUUGGAUGAGCCGAUGUCGGAUUAGCUAGUUGGCGGGGUAAAGGCCCACCAAGGCGACGAUCCGUAGCUGGUCUGAGAGGAUGAUCAGCCACACUGGAACUGAGACGCGGUCCAGACUCCUACGGGAGGCAGCAGUGGGGAAUAUUGGACAAUGGGCGCAAGCCUGAUCCAGCUAUACCGCGUGGGUGAAGAAGGCCUUCGGGUUGUAAAGCCCUUUUGUUGGGAAAGAAAAGCAGCAGGUUAAUACCCCGCUGUUCUGACGGUACCCAAAGAAUAAGCACCGGCUAACUUCGUG
rnacentral:rRNA from 1 species